UACGAAGGGGGCUAGCGUUGCUCGGAAUGACUGGGCGUAAAGAGCUCGUAGGCGGCUUGUCGCGUCGGCUGUGAAAACCCGGAGCUCAACUCCGGGCCUGCAGUCGAUACGGGCAGACUGGAGUUCGGCAGGGGAGACUGGAAUUCCUGGGUGUAGCGGUGAAAUGCGCAGAUAUCAGGAGGAACACCGGUGGCGAAGGCGGGGUCUCUGGGCCGAUACUGACGUGAGGAGCGAAAGCGUGGGGAGCGAACAGG
rnacentral:rRNA from 1 species